GGAGAGGUGCCGGAGUGGUCGAACGGGCUCGACUCGAAAUCGAGAGAUCCUUAGCGGGAUCCGGGGGUUCGAAUCCCUCCCUCUCCGCCA
rnacentral:tRNA from 1 species